rnacentral:rRNA from 1 species
AUAAGAUAUCAAGGGCAACAGGUGAAUGCCUUGGCGCUGAGAGGCGAUGAAAGACGCGGUAAGCUGCGAUAAGCAUCGGGGAGGAGCUAAACAUCCUACGAUCCGAUGAUUUCUGAAUGGGGAAACCCGAUGGGAGUCAUGUCCCAUCAUCCUGAGCUGAAUAUAUAGGCCCAGAGAAGCCAACCCGGGGAAGUGAAACAUCUCAGUACCCGGAGGAAGAGAAAUCAAACGAGACUCCCAAAGUAGCGGCGAGCGAAAUGGGAAGAGCCCAAACCGAGUGGUUUCGACCAUUCGGGGUUGUAGGGCCGGCAUACGCGAUUCUGGAGUAGGCAGAGGAAGUGAGCUGGAAAGCUCCGCCACAGCGGGUGAUAGCCCCGUACUCGAAACCGAAAAGGACGCAGCCGGUACCUGAGUACUGCGAGGCACGUGGAACCUCGUGGGAAUCUAGGGGGACCAUCCUCUAAGGCUAAGUACUCCUCAGCGACCGAUAGUGAACUAGUACCGUGAGGGAAAGGUGAAAAGAACCCCUGUUAGGGGAGUGAAAUAGAAUCUGAAACCUGUUGCCUACAAGCUGCGAGAGCUACUUCGGUAGUGAUCGCGUGCCUUUUGUAUAAUGAGUCAGCGAGUUACUCUACCGUGCGAGGUUAAGCGAAAGCGUAGCCGUAGUGAAAGCGAGGCUUAAUAGGCCGACUAGUACGUUGGAGUAGACCCGAAACCGGGUGAUCUAUCCAUGAGCAGGUUGAAGCAAGGGUAAAGCCUUGUGGAGGACCGAACCGUCAACGGCUGAAAACGUUCCGGAUGACUUGUGGAUAGGGGUGAAAGGUCAAUCAAACCCGGUGAUAGCUGGUUCUCCCCGAAAUAUAUUGAGGUAUAGCCUCGGGAAUUGAUUAGCGGAGGUAAAGCACUGACAGAGCUAGGGGUCCUACCAGAUUACCAAACUCUAUCAAACUCAGAAUGCCGCUUAAUCGUAUCCCGGGAGUCAGACGGCGGGUGCGAAGGUUCGUCGUCAAAAGGGAAACAGCCCAGACCAACAGCUAAGGUCUCCAAAUCCAUGCUCAGUGGUGAAGGUAGUGGAACCGUUUAGACAGCCAGGACGUUGGCUUAGAAGCAGCCAUCGUUUAAAGAAAGCGUAAUAGCUCACUGGUCUAAUGGCUCUGCGCCGAAAAUGUAACGGGGCUAAGCAUGGUACCGAAGCUUUGGCAAUCCCCUUUGGGGAUUGGGUAGGGGAGCGUUCGCUGCGGGCUGAAGGUGUGUCGGAAGGCAUGCUGGACUGCAGUGAAGUGAUUAUGCUGACAUGAGUAACGAUAAAAUAUGUGAAAAACAUAUUCGCCGAAAACCCGAGGUUUCCUGGGUAAAGGUAAUCUUCCCAGGGUUAGUCGGAUCCUAAGGUGAGGGUGAAAGCCGUAACCGAUGGAAAACAGGUUAAUAUUCCUGUACUUGUUGUGUAGCGCGAUGGAGGGACGCAGGAAGAUAGGCGGGCCGGGUGUUGGAUAUCCCGGUGCAAGCGUGUAGGAAUAUCCGGUAGGCAAAUCCGCCGGACGAAUCUGAGACGCGAGUCCGUGGGCGCAAGCCCUGAAGCCGUUGAGUCUAUGCUGCCUAGAAAAGCUCCUAAGUUUAUCCACAGCAAUCCGUACCGCAAACCAACUCAGGUGGGUGGGAUGAACAAUCCAAGGCGCUCGAGAGAACUCUGGCCAAGGAACUCGGCAAAAUAACCCCGUAACUUCGGAAGAAGGGGUGCUCUCUAGGGUGACAUGUUUAACAUAUGAAGCCCCGGGGAGCCGCAGUGAAUUGGUGGUGGCGACUGUUUACUAAAAACAUAGGUCUGUGCGAAGUCCUAAAGACGACGUAUACGGACUGACGCCUGCCCGGUGCUGGAAGGUUAAAAGGAGGGGUCAGCGCAAGCAAAGCUCCGAAUUGAAGCCCCAGUAAACGGCGGCCGUAACUAUAACGGUCCUAAGGUAGCGAAAUUCCUUGUCGGGUAAGUUCCGACCUG